GAUGAACGCUAGCUACAGGCUUAACACAUGCAAGUCGCGGGGCAGCAUGGGGGUUGCUUGCAAUCCCCGAUGGCGACCGGCGCACGGGUGAGUAACGCGUAUUCAACCUGCCCUUCACCACGGGAUAACCCGGCGAAAGUCGGACUAAUACCGUAUGUUGUCCAUUGACGGCAUCCGAUUUGGACGAAAGGCUUGGCGGUGAGGGAUGGGGAUGCGUCCGAUUAGCCAGACGGCGGGGUAACGGCCCACCGUGGCUACGAUCGGUAGGGGUUCUGAGAGGAAGGUCCCCCACACUGGAACUGAGACACGGUCCAGACUCCUACGGGAGGCAGCAGUGAGGAAGAUUGGUCAAUGGGCGUAAGCCUGAACCAGCCAAGUAGCGUGCAGGAUGACGGCCCUAUGGGUUGUAAACUGCUUUUAUGCGGGGAUAAAGUGGCCCACGUGUGGGCUUUUGCAGGUACCGCAUGAAUAAGAACCGGCUAAUUCCGUG
rnacentral:rRNA from 1 species